CUGUCUGGUUUUAUUUAUCCUGUGUCACACUGUACAUGUGCUGUGUUUCUCUUAAAGACCUCAGAGAGCAGAAUCUAUCCAAGUGGUAAAAGUACUGGCAGCCAAGAAUAGGUCUACCUACCACCUUGUAGUUUACAUAAAAAGGAGAAGAAAGGAAGCCAAAUGACUGUAAGUUUCUUGCAUAAUCCACACCAGAAAGCAUUGCCUACAGACUGUCACCACCCACUAUUGACUCUGUUGCUUCAUGAUGAAUGCUGGAUGAAACAUCUUCAAAUUCUACCUGAUUUAUGUAUGGUGUCAACAUGACUUAAGGAUCUGUGCUGAACACUGGAGGUAUAAAAAGAGAGUGAACAAUCCAAACAACCCUAGAGCAGAGACAAGUGCGUGACUCAUUAUAAUGUAAUUUAAAGACCUUAUGGGAUCAUCCACGGCACUGUGAAACUGGAGGAAGAAGCAGCAUUCAAGUGAAUGAACGUGUAUUUGGACAGAGGGAAGGUUCCUAAAGGAAUGAGUCAUAGAGGAUAGCCAAGGCCUUAUCCAGGUGAGAAAUUUCUAGAGGCGCAGCAAAACCUGGACGCAUCAGAGAGCAGAGCACAUUUGCAGAACACAGGACCCCACGUGGCUGAAGCAAAGCCUGUGUUUUUCAGUCUUACAUAAGAAACCUUUGCUGGCCAGAGACAAUGGCUCAUGCCAUUGUCUAAAAGUAUACUGACUGGGUAUGGUGGCUCACAGCUGUAAUCCCAGCACUUUGGGAAGCCAAGAUGGGUGGAUCACCACUGAGGUCAGGAG